GGGGGCGAAACGGUAUCGACCGGAUUGGAUAAGCUACGUGCUGCGUGUCGAGGUGUCCGGCGGCCUCGUUAAACCCCGGAAAAACGCAUAACUGUCAAUCCUCAGUUUGCACUCGCUGCUUAGUUAAACGCUAACAGCCCUCCCCGGAGUCCCCGCCCAUGGGACGACGGUAGGAGGCCACAAGAUGGGCUGGUCACCGCACCCUGCGUCUCAGGGGGGGCGGGACGAGAAAGUUCUGAGACUGGCUCCUCUAGCGCUGGGUUCGUUAGGGCCGAGGGGCGAGACCUACACUAGUGAACUACACACGUAGAGGCCGUGGUGGACUUUUCUCGGGACCCGGGUUCGACUCCCGGCGCCUCCAGCC
rnacentral:tmRNA from 1 species